UUUUUCCCAAACCAGUUAUUGCCGAUUGAAUUUUCAAAACGUCACAGUACCGUCGUUCUAUCAAAUCAAUAUUUAAAAAGACUGAGAAAACCACAAAUAAGAAGGAAUUAAUGGUGAUUGUGAAAGUUAUUCUUAAAAAAAUCACUUUACCCAGAGGUUUUUACAAGAAUCAGCUAAGAUCAAAGGAAUUUAUCCAUUCAGAUGAAUAAAAACAAUUGAGAAAACCUACAAAGUAAAAAUUAGGAAGGAGGUCGAGAUACAGUUUAUGCUGAAAGUGAAGGAUUUAUUCACACGUUUCUUAAUAUAAAAAAAACAAGACAUUUAAGGUUUUUAGAGAGGAAUCAGCAAAAAAACGGAUUCCAAGCAGAGUGUGUGGGACAAGAAUAAUGGAGUGGACAGGAGAGGAUGGGGAUUAUGAAAUAAAGCUACUGAAACUUUCUCAAGAAAAUGAGCAAUUAAAUAUUACCUUGAGAAAAAAGCAUGCAUCAGAGAUUCUUUCCAAUGAUGAAAUUAUGAAAAAAAAUGAAUCAAUAAGUAUUAUAGAAAGGCAAAACUUAAAACAGCUUGUUGAAAUACAAAAAUUACAUAAAAUAAUAAGUAACAUUACAUUGGAAAACAAGCAAACUAAUGUUAAAUUGAGUUUAAGUCAAGAUACCUGUCAAAGGCAAUAUACAUACAUAGAGACCCUUCAGGAUAGGUUGCAGGAAAAGAAGAAAAUUAUGAAAAAUAAAGAUAAUAGUAUUAUGGAGCUAGAGAUAGAAAAUAAACUUCUUGAAGAGGAUAAAAAAGAUUUCAAAGAGAAUAAUACAAAACUGAUGAAGCAAAUAUAUGAUAAAGAUAUUUUAAUGAGAGAAACUUCAGCAAAAGAUAAAAAAACAAUAAAAGAACAAACAGAUGAAAUUAUAGAACUAAAAAGAGUUCAGAAAAAGGAAAAGGAAAGGGCUAAUUGCCAAAAAAAUGAUCUGGACAAAUGUAAAGAAACAAUUAAAAAGCUUCAGCAAUUUCAAAUAAUGACAUAUAUGUGUUUGUUUAUCAGUCUUAUGCUCCUAAUUCUGAUAUUUUCAGGGAUAUUAAUUUAUCCGAUGUCAACUUAUUCCUGGUAUCAUCCAGGUACUAUUAUAAUGAUGGUAGCAAUUGCUGUGAUGAUAAUCAUAUUGUUAAUAACUGGUAAAAAUAUUUAUAUUUUGUAUAAUAAAGAAUAAGAUUGUAAAGUAAAAACAUUACAUGAAAUUAGGUGUGAACAUAGACAGCU